rnacentral:rRNA from 1 species
UCUUUUGAGAGUGUUCCAAGGUUACGAUAACCAAUGUAUGAAAUGCGAUUUUUAUAUCUCAUCUCCAAUUUGAAACUGUUAUCCUCAAAUUUCAAUUUGAUGUAUAUUUCGAAUUUUCGUUUGAGAGCAUAUACAGAUUUCUGGAAUUUCACAAAGAAAGAGGCGUUUUUGAAAGGCUUGUCAAUCUCGCAGUUGAUCCACUUAAGCGCAGCCUCAAAGUUCUCUUCUCCUCUAGCAUGUGCGAGUUCUUUCUUCAUCAUCUCUCUGAAGUCAGUGUUGUAUGAAUGAAAAAGUCUCGUUAUUCCAGUAACGCUCUGUAUCAAAUAUUCAUCUAUGGACGAGGAUAUUCCAAGUCCUCCCAAUUUACAAUGGGUAUAAAGAAAGUAAUUAUUCAGAGCAUGAAAUUUAUCCCCAACCAUUGUCUUCAGAAGCGCCUUAAUCUUUUGGUCAUAACCGAGCUGUUUCUCUCUUCCCUGCGUAAUCCGAUUUCUGUCACAAUCAAGAAUUCUGUGUCCAAUAAUACAGUUGCGAAAUGAAAAAAUGAGUUUUGAAUGUAUGAAAGUUUUGUAGGCAUUUAGCUUCUGUGCGGGAUGUAAAUAUGACUUAAACAGGGUGUUAGUCAGUGCAAGUGCCGAUUGAAGUCUUCUGCCCAGUGCUAUGAAUGUCAAUGUGAAGAAAUUCAACUAAGCUCUGGUUAACGGCGGGAGUAACUAUGACUCUCUUAAGGUAGCCAAAUGCCUCGUCAUCUAAUUAGUGACGUGCAUGAAUGGAUUAACGAGAUUCCUACUGUCCCUAUCUACUAUCUAGCGAAACUACAGCCAAGGGAACGGGCUUGGAAAAUAUAGCGGGGAAAGAAGACCCUGUUGAGCUUGACUCUAGUCCGACUUUGUAGGAGAACUUUAGAGGUGUAGCAUAAGUGGGAGACUUCGGUCGACAGUGAAAUACCACUACUCUGAUUGUUUUUCUACUUACUCAAUGAAGCAGUAUAAUUAACUUUUGUUAAUUUUUUUUAGUGAAAAAAUUGCGAUCUUCGGAUGCAAUUGAACUGUUUUGAGGACAGUGUCAGGUGGGGAGUUUGACUGGGGCGGUACAUCUGUCAAAUGGUAACGCAGAUGUCCCAAGGGAAGCUCAACUAGGACAGAAACCUGGUGUUGACUAAAAGGGGAAAAGCUUCCUUGAUCUUGAUUUUCAGUACGAAUACAGACCGUGAAAGCGCGGCCUAUCGAUCCUUUUGAUUUUUACAGAGUUUGUAGCAAGAGGUGUCAGAAAGACAAAUUCAUUAUUGUGUGGGAGCAAAUUUAUGUUGGAAGAUUGGGCUGGUAGGCUUACCAUCACCAAUCAUAGGUUAUAAGUGUUGUAUCAAAUGUCUGUGUGUAGAUAGGUUUGGCUACUAGCCUCUCCUAUCUGGAAAAGUAGCUUGGUAUACCAUGUGAGUCCUGUGUGAAGGUGUUUGAUUUGUGAGGCCUGGUGAGCACCAUUAUGUGGUGCUUCACGGACAUUCCGGUUAGGGUUCUGUCCGCUGGAUAAAUUGAUAUUGGCCAUGUAUCAAUUUAUUGCCUGUCUAAGUAUUAACUAAUAAGCAGUUUUUCGUGCCAUUAGUAUAAUUGGAACUUGUUACCCCUAUCAACUUAGUGGUU